UACGUAGGGUGCAAGCGUUAAUCGGAAUUACUGGGCGUAAAGCGUGCGCAGGCGGUCCGUUAAGACAGAUGUGAAAUCCCCGGGCUUAACCUGGGGAACUGCAUUUGUGACUGGCGGACUCGAGUAUGGCAGAGGGGGGUAGAAUUCCACGUGUAGCGUGAAAUGCGUAGAGAUGUGGAGGAAUACCCGAUGGCGAAGGGCAGCCC
rnacentral:rRNA from 1 species